rnacentral:rRNA from 1 species
UACGUAGGGUGCGAGCGUUGUCCGGAAUUAUUGGGCGUAAAGAGCUUGUAGGCGGUUUGUCGCGUCUGCUGUGAAAAUCCGAGGCUCAACCUCGGACUUGCAGUGGGUACGGGCAGACUAGAGUGUGGUAGGGGGAGACUGGAAUUCCUGGUGUAGCGGUGGAAUGCGCAGAUAUCAGGAGGAACACCGAUGGCGAAGGCAGGUCUCUGGGCCAUUACUGACACUGAGAAGCGAAAGCAUGGGGAGCGAACAGG